rnacentral:lncRNA from 1 species
UUCACACUCUUCCAAAUAAACCUGCCAGCACCUAGGCGUUCCUGUUUUCUUAGUCUCCUGGCUCUGUACAGGGAAUGGAAGCUACAACUGGGGAUCAGCCAGUAACAUGCAGUUAAACUGUAAGAUUCUCUGUCUCUUUAGAAAGGAAACAGACUGCCCCAUUGCUUUCUUAUUGAGAGGGUUCAGAAUAGCACCAGAGAGCUGCAAACCACACUCCCUGGAGUAAAAGCCUUGCAGAUUUUCAGGGCUAUGGCCACCAGCCUGAGAGGACAAAAGGAGCAGAGACUAAGAACGGGGUUUUGACAGUCGUGGGGACACUGCAGCCACCACACUUGGCAAGGACCCAGAGUGUGCAACAGCAACCAAAGAAGAAAAAAAUCCACUCAAUCAAGAUGAGACCAGAUACCUACGUCAAGAAACACUUCAAACAUUUGUCUGGAUCCAACUGCAAAAGCAGGAACAUGAACAACCAAGACAACAGGCCUCCUCUGGAAGUCAGCAAUUCUAUUGCCAUAAGCAAUAUUUGGGAAAAGCAGUGUAGCUGAAGCAUGAAACAGGGAAUGGGAUGACUGACAGCUCAGGAAGAAAAUGAUGAUCUAACUGAACAUGGUUAUUACUGAUGGUGACUACAAUACAUUUCAUAACAUUCUAAUAAAACUUAAUAUGAUUACUAUAAGGAAUUUGAAUCUGAACAAAAAGAGAAAAGAAACUAAAGCCUUUUUCUGAGCUGGGUAAAGGAAAAUAGGUUACUAUGGAUAAAAUGGACAAAAUUGCUGCCUGCAGAAUUUAACCUCUUUCCUGUCCUGGAAGAGACCUGUUGCAUAUCAGGGUCCAUCCUCCCUCCAAAUGAAGAAGAGUUAGCCCCCUAUCAAGAACAACAGAACCUCUGAGUCAGGAAUAAUCUUUUUCCAGGGACACAAAGGCUUGCCUGCUAGAUCAUAACAGACAAUUCCGCAUCUACAGGUUUUAAUGUAAGAGAAGAGAUACAGGGAUAACAAAGAAGGAAUGGCAUUUUAUUGUUUGUUUGCUGAGGUAGUCUCUCCAUGAAGCUCUGGCUGACUUGGAACUCGAUACAUAGACUAGGUCUCCAACUGAUAGAGAUGUGCUUGCCUCUACCUCCCAAGUACUGGAAUUAAAGGUA